rnacentral:rRNA from 1 species
CGGCGAGUGAAGCGGGAAGAGCUCAAAUUUGAAAUCUUCAAGGUUCUACCUUGACGAAUUGUAGUUUAAAGAAGUGUUUUCUGUUAGAUGAGUAGCAAAAGUUCCUUGGAAUGGGACAUCAUAGAGGGUGAGAAUCCCGUAUUUGGUUAUUCAUUCUAGCUUUGUGAUACACUUUCAAAGAGUCGGAUUGUUUGGGAAUGCAGUCCAAAAUGGGUGGUAAAUUUCAUCUAAAGCUAAAUAUUGGCGAGAGACCGAUAGCGAACAAGUACCGUGAGGGAAAGAUGAAAAGAACUUUGAAAAGAGAGUUAAACAGUACGUGAAAUUGUCAAAAGGGAAGCGUUUGACACCAGUGUUGUUUUUCCGAAAAUCAAUUACGAAUGGCUUGAUUUUGUGUUGUAUUGACCUUAUCAGCUUUCUGCACUUUUUUCGAGUCUUUCUUAAUGCACUUUUCGGUUAACAAGUCAACAUCAAUUUCUUUUGUUGUAAAAGAGUAUUCGGAAGGUGGCUUUCUUUUCGGAGAAAGUGUUUAUAGCCCUAUACUUCUACAAUCGGAGAGAUUGAGGUCUGCAGCGUAGAUCCUUUGGGGUUAGAUACACUUGUGCUAAGUUGUAGCUUUUCAUAGACAACUUGUUGACUAUGUUUAGUCAUGCGGCUUACUCGCUUGUGCUAUUUUACCUACGCUUAGGAUGUUGACAAAAUGGUUUUAAACGACCCGUCU